rnacentral:rRNA from 1 species
AGGGCACCACCAGGAGUGGAGCCUGCGGCUUAAUUUGACUCAACACGGGGAAACUCACCCGGCCAGGACACAAUAAGGAUUGACAGAUUGAUAGCUCUUUCUUGAUUUUGUGGGUGGUGGUGCAUGGCCGUUCUUAGUUGGUGGAGCGAUUUGUCUGGUUAAUUCCGAUAACGAACGAGACUCCAGCCUAUUGAAUAGACGAUAUAUCAUCUUCGUAUAUCGAGCUUCUUAGAGGGACGAGCAGCUUCUAGCUGCGCGAGAUUGAGCAAUAACAGGUCUGUGAUGCCCUUAGAUGUCCGGGGCUGCACGCGCGCUACAAUGAAAAUAGCAGCGCGUGUCGAAAACCUUUUCUGGAAAGAAUUGGUAAACGCGAAAUAUUUUCGUGAUAGGGAUAGGGGAUUGAAAUUAUUGCCCUUGAACGAGGAAUUCCCAGUAAAUUCGAGUCAUCAGCUCGAGUUGAUUACGUCCCUGCCCUUUGUACACACCGCCCGUCGCUACUACCGAUUGGAAGAUUGAGUG